rnacentral:rRNA from 1 species
AGCAGCCGCGGUAAUUCCAGCUCCAAUAGCGUAUAUUAAAGUUGUUGCAGUUAAAAAGCUCGUAGUUGAAUUUCGGGAUUGACACAUCGGUCGUGCCUUAAGGGGAAUGAACUGGUGUAGUCAAUUUCUCACCUUCUGGAGAACCGCGAUGCCCUUAAUUGGGUGUCACGGGGAACCAGGACCUUUACCUUGAAAAAAUUAGAGUGUUUAAAGCAGGCAUUUUUGCUUGAAUACAUUAGCAUGGAAUAAUAAAAUAGGACGGCAUGAUUCUAUUUUGUUGGUUUCUAGGAUCACCGUAAUGAUUAAUAGGGAUAGUUGGGGGCAUUAGUAUUCAAUUGUCAGAGGUGAAAUUCUUGGAUUUAUUGAAGACUAACUACUGCGAAAGCAUUUGCCAAGGAUGCUUUCAUUAAUCAAGAACGAAAGUUAGGGGAUCGAAGACGAUCAGACACC